rnacentral:rRNA from 1 species
CAAUAGCGUAUAUUCAAGUUGUUGCAGUUAAAAAGCUCGUAGUUGAACUUCAGACCUGGCUGGGCGGUCUGCCUAACGGUAUGUACUGUCCGGCUGGGUCUUACCUCUUGGUGAGCCGGCAUGCCCUUCACUGGGUGUGUCGGGGAACCACGACUUUUACCUUGAGAAAAUUAGAGUGUUCAAAGCAGGCUUAUGCCCGAAUACAUUAGCAUGGAAUAAUAAAAUAGGACGUGCGGUUCUAUUUUGUUGGUUUCUAGAGUCGCCGUAAUGAUUAAUAGGGAUAGUUGGGGGCAUUAGUAUUCCGUUGCUAGAGGUGAAAUUCUUGGAUUUACGGAAGACUAACUAUUGCGAAAGCAUUUGCCAAGGAUGUUUUCAUUAAUCAAGAACGAAGGUUAGGGGAUCGAAAACGAUCAGAUACCGUUGUAGUCUUAACAGUAAACUAUGCCGACUAGGGAUCGGGCGAACUCAAUUUGAUGUGUCGCUCGGCACC